UACAGAGGUCCCGAGCGUUGUUCGGAUUCACUGGGCGUAAAGGGUGCGCAGGUGGGUUUGCAAGUUCGAUGUGAAAGCCCCGGGCUUAACCCGGGAAUGGCAUUGGAUACUGCAGAUCUGGAGGAUCGGAGGGGGGACUGGAAUUCUUGGUGUAGCAGUGAAAUGCGUAGAUAUCAGGAGGAACACCGAUGGCGAAGGCAGGUCUCUGGGCAUUAACUGACGCUGAGGAGCGAAAGCAUGGGGAGCGAACAGG
rnacentral:rRNA from 1 species